UUUCCGUAGGUGAACCUGCGGAAGGAUCAUUACUGGGUUCCAAGGCCUCGUGCCUACCACCCGCCCUCUGUCAUUUGCAACGGUAUUGCUUCGGCCGCUGGCUCCCCGGUGCCGGUGCUCCCUCUCGGGGGCGCCGCGCGGGGGGGUCACGGUCGGUCUUCCAAUCCUCCAAGGAAUUUAUGUCGUCUGAUGCACAAUGCAAAAACGAAAAGCAAAACUUUCAACAACGGAUCUCUUGGUUCUGGCAUCGAUGAAGAACGCAGC
rnacentral:misc_RNA from 1 species